CUGUGCUUCACUUAACACAGGCCAGUGGCUUCUGGACCUUCACAGGUUUGCAUCUGGACCACACACAGAAAGUAAGCCAGAAUAAGCACAACUUGUUUUUCAAAAAUAAGAACUUUUCUGCGAUGACCAUCCUUCAUCCCUGCUGUGCUGCUCGAUCCUGCUGUUCUUGGAGUUGAACACUAAUGGGCUUAAGCUUUCCAGGACUCAGGCGUUCCCAGACACAUCUCCUAACAAACAGCCUGAUGGAUUUGGAAGCAAGUUCCUUGACCUUUGGCUGCAGGGUUGCCUUAUGGCCUCCACUAAAAUAAAGAAGUGUAAUCUCCAUGGUGCAAAAUAGAAGUCAGCAAAUCUCCUGCCAAGAAGCAGACAAGGAAAAAUGGUUUCUGGGCCUCUUCUUUUGGGAAACUUACCAGGGUGGGAAAAUUGUUAAUACUCAUCUAUGCAAAGUAACUUGCAGGGAAGACUGCUUCUGUCCUCAGGUAAGCUGAAAAUAACAUGAAAACUAGUUCUCUUAUACAUAUUUUGUGGACUAGAAGUGUACAGAAUUCAGUUACUGAAUUUGAUCUAAAGGUCAGUAACUCCCAUGUGAGAAGAGAGAGUUUCUUAAUACCACUUGCCUGAUCACACAGUGAACAGCUAACCUUAUGUUAAAUUUGUUCCAUAGAAACAUGAGUGUACCUCCUUAUGUCAGACCAUAAUGAGAAAAAAAUGAAGUCCUUUGGGAGAAAUUGUAGAUCUUUCAAUUAAAUAAUGGUCAUCACAAAGUGAAAAGUUCCUUCUUAUGGCUAUAUUUAAGCCAUGAGGAGUGAAAGGCUUAUCCUCUAUCAAAACUGAACAUUCCUAGCU
rnacentral:lncRNA from 1 species